GGACAAGUCUAACCUAGCAAGUCUUUUACUUAGCACUUUUAUUCGAAAGUUCCAUAAAGAUCAGUCACAUAUGAUUUAAACUGCGUCAGCAUCUGCCAAAGCCGCAAAUCACUUAUACGACUUACCGGAUGGGAACUAAGACGUCAACUUAAGCUGGGGAUGAUGUAAGGAGAAUAAAGAUGAAGCUGAGGUGACAAGCACGUUGGGACACAGUGCCUUCCAUAAAAAAUACUCAUAAUAAAGGGAAUUUUAGUUUUUGCACAGCUA